UACAGAGGGUGCGAGCGUUAAUCGGAAUUACUGGGCGUAAAGCGCGCGUAGGCGGCUUUGCAAGUCGAGUGUGAAAUCCCCAGGCUUAACCUGGGAACUGCAUUCGAGACUGCAUAGCUAGAGUAUGGGAGAGGGAAGUGGAAUUUCAGGUGUAGCGGUGAAAUGCGUAGAUAUCUGAAGGAACAUCAGUGGCGAAGGCGACUUACUGGACACAUAUUGACGCUGAGGUGCGAAAGCGUGGGGAGCAAACAGG
rnacentral:rRNA from 1 species